rnacentral:sRNA from 1 species
UUGGGGAUAGCAGGGUAAGUCUUGGGUAUCUUACAUUUUCAUGGUAUCAUUUCUUUUUAAAUAGAGGCUUUUUUUCCUGUUACAGGAAAGGCCAUUGCUGCUCUGGAGCUGUGUGUGUGUGUGAUGACUAAAGCAAAGAAGCAGCCCUACAGUGGCACUCCUGGGUCUGGUGCACCACUCCUCAGGAGCAUCUCAGAUUCUGCCUGAUCAAUGCAGGAGUCUUGUACCUCUACUUCAGCAAUUACCUACAGAUUGAUGAGGAAGAAUAUGGUGGCACGUGGGAGCUCACGAAGGAAGGGUUUAUGACCUCUUUUGCCUUGUUCAUGGUCAUUUGGAUCAUCUUUUACACUGCCAUCCAUUAUGACUGAUGGUGUACAGCUCCCAAGUGCUCCCUAUCCAGUCCAAAGGACCCUCUUGAUUACAGCACAGGAACUUGAUCGUUGGGGAACCCCAGCCCCUUGGAACUUGGAAGACCCGUGUUUCCUGGACCGUGAAUCAGUAUGUUGGGCAUCAGUGUUUUCUGCAAGGGUUGUGACCUGAAACUUUUUAAAAACCACCCACCUUUGGGGAAGCAUUUCUGAAUUUAUCCAUCACCAACCAUUUCUUCUUGGAUACCAUCAAGUAACAGCUGUUUGCCAAGUGGAGCUGUCAUUUAAUUUGAUGCACCUCUGGAUUCAGAUGAAACAUUAAAUUGUCUUCCUCGAUUCUCCAUCGGGUGUACAGUUUUUAAACUAUCAAUGGCAUUUCAAGUCUUCUGAAACAGCAUGGCUGUAUGUGCGUGGUCCAUAGCACAGUACAGGCAGCAUCUAAUAACAGUUUCCAUUGUAGAAUGUUUUCAUAUACUUGAAUAAAUCAAAUCUUUAAUUGAGAA